rnacentral:rRNA from 1 species
GGGCUUGACAUCCCACGAACCUGCCGAAAGGCAGGAGUGCCCGCAAGGGAGCGCUUGUAGAGGUGCUGCAUGGCUGUCGUCAGCUCGUGUCGUGAGAUGUUGGGUUAAGUCCCGCAACGAGCGCAACCCUUGUCUGCUGCUGCCAUCAGGUAAAGCUGGGCACUCUGCGGAGACUGCCGGUGACAAACCGGAGGAAGGUGGGGAUGACGUCAAGUCCGCAUGGCCUUUAUGUCCGGGGCCACACACGUGCAACAAUGGGCGGCACAAACCGUCGCGAUCUCGCAAGAGGGAGCUAAUCGGAGAAAGCCGUUCUCAGUUCGGAUUGUAGGCUGCAACUCGCCUGCAUGAAGUUGGAAUCGCUAGUAAUCGCGGAUCAGCACGCCGCGGUGAAUACGUUCCCGGGCCUUGUACACACCGCCCGUCACAUCACGAAAGCUGGCUGUACUCGAAGUCGCUGAG